GAGGCGUUAGAAGAAAGAAACGAAGAAUGAUCAGUUUUGUCUUCAAAGUGCAAAAGCAAACAACCCAUCAGUUCAAGUGAUCCGGCGUGAAGACUUGCUCCAACAGCGAAAAAGUUUAGAUCAAAAUGAACUUGAAUUAAAAAAUAAGACGUAUUUAGAAAAUGAAUUGGAUUCCGAAUAAAACUUCUUUAAUCUAAGCCUGACCCACUAGAAUUUUUUAACUAUUCUUUUAAGUAGACUGAGUUACUGACUGUCAUUAGAAUACCUUAUUAUUUCCCUUAUUCCCAAUACCUAAUCAAUUCCUACUUCCUAAAAACAAAAUCCCUGCCGCUCACCGCUCCAGCCCCGUUGUCCGUCAGUCCGUCUCCCGCUCACCACUGGUUUGCUC
rnacentral:lncRNA from 1 species